GUGUUGCAUUAGAGACAUCUAGUGGUGUAAAUUUAUAUUGCAUUUGAGUUCUCAUAUUUAGUCCCUCCUCUCUUGCCGUUGUUUUUGCCUGUGUGCUUCUGACUCUGAUCUACUGAGAGGUCACGCAGCAGUUACUCUUUUCUCUUUGCCUUGGUAGUUUUUGAAGGUCUAAGUCUUUUUACAAAAUUGGAAAGAUCCUUACUAAAGGCCUCUCUGUACUCCGGUUUCCUGGGUCUUUAUUUAAUGGGUCUUAUGUUAGCUAUCUGCUACGCUAACCCAUCAAAGCAAGAGCAGAAUAGAAAUGAAAAUGAUUUCCAGCAUCUGUGGCUGUAGUACAUCAAGAUCCUCGCCACUACAGACGUGGACAGGCUCUGAGUUUCUGUCAGGUUGCGGUUGGACUUCAGUCUUCGGUCGAGUCUCGAGCUCAAGUCUUCCACC